CUUGGUGUAGGUAGUACUCUGAAUAUAUCUCCUCCUGUCUGAUUUUGGAAGCUAAGCAGGGUCCUGCAUGAUUAGUUUUUCAAUGGGAAGCCAGCAAGGGAAACUUGGAAACUGUAAGC
ensembl:rRNA 5S_rRNA 5S ribosomal RNA